AUUGAACGCUGGCGGCAUGCCUUACACAUGCAAGUCGAACGGCAGCACGGGGCAACCUGGUGGCGAGUGGCGAACGGGUGAGUAAUGCAUCGGAACGUACCUUUCAGUGGGGGAUAACGUAGCGAAAGUUACGCUAAUACCGCAUAUUCUGUGAGCAGGUAAGCAGGGGAUCGCAAGCACUUGCGCUGAUUGAGCGGCCGAGGUCAGAUUAGGUAGUUGGGGAGGUAAAGGCUCACCAAGGCGACGAUCUGUAGCGGGGCUGAGAGGAUGAUCCGCAACACUGGAACUGAGAAACGGUCCAGACUCCUACGGGAGGGAGCAGUGGGGAAUCUUGGACAAUGGGGGCAACCCUGAUCCAGCCAUGCCGCGUGAGUGAAGAAGGCCUUCGGGUUGUAAAGCUCUUUCGGCCGGGAAGAAAUCGCACGGGCUAAUACCCUGUGUGGAUGACGGUACCGGAAUAAGAAGCACCGGCUAACUACGUGCCAGCAGCCGCGGUAAUAC
rnacentral:rRNA from 1 species